rnacentral:rRNA from 1 species
CGUGUAGGCGGCUUGACAAGUCAGAUGUGAAAUCCCUGGGCUUAACCCAGGAAGUGCAUUUGAAACUGUCUGGCUAGAGUAAGGGAGAGGAAAGUGGAAUUCCUGGUGUAGAGGUGAAAUUCGUAGAUAUCAGGAGGAACACCGGUGGCGAAGGCGACUUUCUGGCCCUAUACUGACGCUGAGACGCGAAAGCGUGGGUAGCAAACAGGAUUAGAUACCCUGGUAGUCCACGCUGUAAACAAUGUUCACUAGGUGUUGGGGGUAUUGACCCUUUCAGUGCCGCAGCUAACGCAUUAAGUGAACCGCCUGGGGAGUACGGUCGCAAGAUUAAA